rnacentral:rRNA from 1 species
ACACGUAGGGGGCGAGCGUUGUUCGGAAUCAUUGGGCGUAAAGGGCGCGCAGGCGGCGAGGCAAGUCCGGUGUGAAAGUGCUCGGCUCAACCGAGUGAUGCGCUGGAAACUGCCCUGCUUGAGUACAGGAGGGGACGUCGGAAUUCCAGGUGUAGGGGUGAAAUCUGUAGAUAUCUGGAAGAACACCGGUGGCGAAGGCGGACGGCUGGCCAUGUACUGACGCUGAGGCGCGAAGGUGCGGGGAGCGAACAGGUAUAGAGACCCUGGUAGUCCGCACAGUAAACGAUGUGCACCAGGUGGCGGGGGGUAGCCCUCGGUACCGAAGCCAACGCAUUAAGUGCACCGCCUGGGGAGUAUGCUCGCAAGGGUGAAACUCAAAUGAAUUGACGGGG